AUUAUUGUGGCUGUUUGUUGUACUGAACUUCAAAUACGAAACAGAGCAUCAAAAGCUAUUGAAAUUCUGGAAGCAUAUGAAGGGGCAUUAAAAGAUUAUCCUCCAGAAAGUGAACGGAUUGAGCAUGGGGAAAUGCUUUUAUAUAUAAGGUUGUUGCAUGGAGUUUUGUUCCUGGUAAGCAACUGGAGCAAAAGAAAAUAAAGAAGAUUGUCAAUCCUACUACACCCGUUGUCCCUCUUGCCAAACAUUUAAGGAGAUAAAGGGAUAUAUAUUGUUUACCCGUUUUUGAAAUAUUUUAGUUUAUAUGAUCAUGUACAAUGUGUGUAUAUAUUAUACUCAAAUUUUCUAUAAAGUAAAGCCUUUGGUUUAUACAUUAUAAUUAAAAUUUUAA